rnacentral:rRNA from 3 species
GUGCCUUCGGGAACUGUGAGACAGGUGCUGCAUGGCUGUCGUCAGCUCGUGUUGUGAAAUGUUGGGUUAAGUCCCGCAACGAGCGCAACCCUUAUCCUUUGUUGCCAGCGGUUAGGCCGGGAACUCAAAGGAGACUGCCAGUGAUAAACUGGAGGAAGGUGGGGAUGACGUCAAGUCAUCAUGGCCCUUACGACCAGGGCUACACACGUGCUACAAUGGCGCAUACAAAGAGAAGCGACCUCGCGAGAGCAAGCGGACCUCAUAAAGUGCGUCGUAGUCCGGAUUGGAGUCUGCAACUCGACUCCAUGAAGUCGGAAUCGCUAGUAAUCGUGGAUCAGAAUGCCACGGUGAAUACGUUCCCGGGCCUUGUACACACCGCCCGUCACACCAUGGGAGUGGGUUGCAAAAGAAGUAGGUAGCUUAACCUUCGGGAGGGCGCUUACCACUUUGUGAUUCAUGACUGGGGUGAAGUCGUAACAAGGUAACCGUAGGGGAACCUGCGGUUGGAUCACCUCCUUACCUUAAAGAAGC